rnacentral:tRNA from 2 species
AAGCGCAGUUAAAUGGCAAGAGUGCCGCGUUUUAUGCGAUAGACGCGGGUUCGAUUCCCGCCGUGUCUA